rnacentral:rRNA from 1 species
AUUGAACGCUGGCGGCAGGCUUAACACAUGCAAGUCGAGCGGGGUGAUGGUGCUUGCACUAUCACUUAGCGGCGGACGGGUGAGUAAUACAUCGGAACGUGCCCUGUAGUGGGGGAUAACUAGUCGAAAGAUUAGCUAAUACCGCAUACGACCUGAGGGUGAAAGUGGGGGACCGCAAGGCCUCAUGCUAUAGGAGCGGCCGAUGUCUGAUUAGCUAGUUGGUGGGGUAAAGGCCUACCAAGGCGACGAUCAGUAGCUGGUCUGAGAGGACGGUCAGCCAAACUGGGACUGAGACACGGUCCAGACUCCUACGGGAGGCAGCAGUGGGGAAUUUUGGACAAUGGGCGCAAGCCUGAUCCAGCAAUGCCGCGUGAGUGAAGAAGGCCUUCGGGUUGUAAAGCUCUUUUGUCAGGGAAGAAACGGUUGUGGCUAAUAUCCAUGGCUAAUGACGGUACCUGAAGAAUAAGCACCGGCUAACUACGUGCCAGCCGCCGCCGUAA